AUCUCAAAUCAGGUAGGACUACCCGCUGAACUUAA
rnacentral:rRNA from 3 species